AAACCACACUAGAGUCUCCACUUUCUCACCCUGAGAGGAGGAAGAAAGGAAGUUUUCUUCCAAAGAAGACUCAGUAAUAACAUGAGCAAUAGCACUGCUAGCUAAUGCAUGCUAAUAAUCUACUUUCUAUAUUUUUCUUUUAAUUCUCACCAAGAGCAAACAAAUACACAAAAUACCUUGCAAGGCUUCUCCCUCAAUUCCCCCCACUCGCCUGGUGUAAAGGUCCAUCACUGCCGCUUUCCCUCUGGGCUCACCAGAUCUCUGUCCCUCUUUCACAGACAUCUGGGCCUCCACUAGUGGUUCAGCUGCUCAUGGUUUUUGCUUCUCUGGAAAGUGGGGACAAACACAAGGGCGACCAUGUGGCUGUAACCUCUCGACACAUGGCCUUCAAAAAGAUUACGGAACUUGUUCGAGCAGCUGUGAGGGAGCCGUGAUUGGAGCCCAAGGGCAGUUUCCUCCGAAGCUCCCACUCUUUCUAGAAAGUCUCUGUUCAUCUCAUUGCCUACUGCUUCUUAUUUGCCUUACUCAAUUAUCUCCUCGAAGGCACCAUGAAGUUUUAACCCCCUAGCUUCUUUCCCCUGUUCUACAGGGUGUCCCCUCUGGCUGAUGCGCACACCCGGCCUCGGAGACCCUGACUUCAGUUCUGGAUUCUUGCUCAAGCUUCUUGACCUUCCAGACCUUCUUCCCUUAACCAGCACUGUAACAGUCCACUUCCUUGCCUUCCCAUCCUCUGUCAGCCCCUCUGUGGUAUCAGACCGUCCUUACUGCCUUGGGCCUCUGCUGUAGUCAGGGGAGUAUCUUGAGAGUGGGGGCUGAGUUCUACUGUCACAGAUCUUCUAAACCCAUGCACAGUACCUGCUGUUACCGAGUAUUCCAAAGGUUUUUUUUAAAGUGCUAAACGCUUUGCCUAAGUGAUCAUAUCCAACUUGCCUAAUAACUCUCGAUGACUUUACUUCCCUCUUUUGCCAAACAAAGAAAUUAAAGGAAGAAAGUGGUGGCAGCUGCAGAAUUUUAGUCACUGAGAGAGGAUUAGUCAGGUUGGCUGGAGUAUCAGAGGAUUUCAUCCUGAAGUUGAGGUUCACUGCACCCUGUUUUUACCUUACUUUGUACAUUUUGAAGAAAUUAGACCAGUUGUAAGGCUUAUUCCUGCUUAUUGGCCACGCCUCGGUUCCACUUCUAGAGGGACAUUAGGUUCCUUGUCCAAGAUGGCAGAGCUGCAAUGUAGCAGAGUCAGGCCUUGGACGAUGGAUACUUGCUGGAGGUCACUUAAGAUAGUGACCUGGGUAGGUAAAUAGCAAGUUAGAGGUUAUUUGGUUCCAGGCCACUCAUUAGCCAUUAAUAUGGAGUUUACAAGCAGAAACCCAAAGGCCCUCAGUUUUUUUUUUUCUGGCUUCAGGUUGAUAAAGGAAACAGGAGACCGAUGAUGUUGCUCAGCAGCACAAGGGCCUCCCUGGUAAAAAUGGCAGUGCGGAGGAGAAUGGCAGAGAAAAUCUGUACAAUCCACGUCAGCCAGGAAGCAGAGAGGGAAAGAAGGCGUUGAAGAAAAGAAUACACCCUGCAGUGACCCACCAGCCUCUGAACAGCACACUACGACACGAACUCAUCAGUGGAUUAAUCCCCCUCUAAACACGUUUGGAGAACAUUCUAGAUUUAAACUCUAACAGAAGGUGUUAUGGAUUAAGAACUGAUGGUCAAUUUAACACCAGCUGGAUUACAUCAGCAUGGCACUGAGUGAAGAUGUCCACCUGCGGAAAGUUGCCAGCAUAAAUAGAGAGAUAGAGGAGAAGAAAGGCGUUAAUGUGCUAUUGUGUUGAGGUGUUGAGGCAUUGUGGGUUCUCCUUCAUGUUGCUGUUUGAGUCAUUGGUUCUCCUGGAGGAGCUCUGGUCCUCACAUCAAGCAUUGCUUCCUGGUUCCAGAGGGGAAGACAUGUGCUGCUUGGUCUCCAGGAUGAACUACUCACGCUGGUUCCUGGCAUGUAACCGACUGUGCUUGUCGGAGGAGGAGCUCGGGGGCUCCGUGUUGCUGAGGAUGGCUGUGGUGCUUUUCAGGACAGCCCUGGUCUUCAUUAUGAGUGUGGCUUCUUAGCUCCAGCAUAGAAUUCUCAACCUACCAGCACAGCUCAUUCAACCCGCUGGCAUGAACUUUCUGGCUUCCACCGCUGACCUUUGGGCCUUCCCGGCAUGGAUGCCGUAAAAGACACUGGCGUGAGUCCUUCUUGUGCGCUCUGGACCUCUAGUUGGACUCGUGGGAGGCAUUGUCAUGAGCUCUGGGUUUUCAUCUGGACUCAUAUGAGACAUUGCUAUGGGAUUCAAGCUUUUGGCUAAAUAUUCUAUGUCUUUGUUGUUGUGGAUAGAUUUCCUGCAUUUUCUUGUGUUAACUCCUGGUGACCAUUAUAAAAUAAUAUUAUAAACUCUGUGUCCUGAUUCUAAUUGUUUUCUGCACAAUCUCUAACUACAGCAGAAGGCCUGCAUGUCUGUAGCCUUGUAUAUACUAUCACUACUGCCUUUGGAGUGGAGAGAGAGCAGAGCCAUGUGGUAUUGAGAUGGGAAAAGAAAGAGUGGUGACUUCACAGAGAGGAGUUUAACCUGUUCCCUCUUCAUUGAGCUGCCUGUGAAUCCAAAACUCAGUCCUCCUGCUUACUGGGGUGCCUGGAUGUCCUUAGCUAGCUUUUCCUAACCCCACUUGUAAGCUUCUCAAGAGAGCUUCCUCUGGCAAGCAAACUAUUCACAUGAUCCUUGCCCAAUCUUAUGUUCUCAGGGUCCAGUAACUCCCCCUUGCACAUUAAUGGUCUUAUUAAGCUCAAAGAAAGAUGGUCCAUUCGAGAUGUUCUCACUCAAUGGAAUUUAUUCUCUAGGCAACUAUGGACGUAGGAAGAGUUGUGUGUUUGAAUCAAACUCUCUCCAGAGCUAGAAACCCAGCCUGGUAGAUGCUACCCAGUAUAGCAGAGAAACAACAGUAAGCUGCAACUACCUUCCUUAGCCCUGACUUUAACCAGCAGAGUGGAACUCUCAGAGGAGAGGGUGGACAUGGUUGAUAUUGAGAUGGAGAGUUAAGGUACCUGGCAGAGCCAAAAUGUAGCUGGACCAAGGUUCAGAAGCAAUUUGAUGUGGUGGAAAGAAGGCUAAGAUCCAAGGCUUGGGAUACUUAGGCUCCAGCUGGUUCUGCUGUGAUGAAGGAAUUGGUGGCUGAAGGGACAAUUCAUUUGGAACAUUUACUGAGCACCUGUUGCAUGCCAGACAUUGAGCAGACGUGGGGAUACAAAGGAACAAGACCCACCCUCCAUCCUUGAGGGUGCCUGAAGGCUGAACAAGUAAACAAGUUGUUCAGUACCAUGCGAUGAGAGUUUUUGUUCCUACCUCCUGUGACUUAUGGUGACUUCCCUGUUCUCUAUGUCUCUGCUCCUAUGAAAUAGGCCCACACUGUGGCCACAGUGCUGUACUGUGGGACACAACUCUCAGCACUCAUUUCUCUCCAAAUGAGGAAAAGCAGAAAACCCCAGAGCUCUGCUUCCUGGACUCCUUCGGCCCAUAGACAUCUGCCCUGCACAGCCACUGGAAUCUGUCUGCUUGUUUCUUGCUGGAAAUCAGCAUCAGAACAGAGGCUUACAGUAAAGGGUAUGCAGUAGACUCAGGGAGUAUGGUCAUGAGUAGGCAGUGUGGAAAAGGCAUCGAUUCUUCCCAGAACUCAUCUCCUGGCCCAUCCUGGAAAGGUAGACUGGCUGUGAAUUUUCUUCAGCAUUAUGGCCUUCUACCAGAGGUACAUGAGCUCCCAAGGGUCCAGAGAAACCUCACUAGUGGAAUGAAAGGCUGUGGGGAACCCACUGGAACACAGAGCCUUGGACUUGGGGAAAUGCAAGCCGGUUUUGUGACAAGGACAGAUACCUACCACCAUGAUUGUUAGCCUUGCUCCUGUGACUUCCCCAUUGACAUUCACAAUGCCAAGCAGAUUCCACUCCACUGCCACCCCCACCUGGCCUGCUCAUCCCCACUCCUGACACCUGAACAUAGGAAAUGACAGAAUCGUCUUCCCACAGCCCAUGGUCCUCCUAACAACACUGGAUUUCCCUGGAUCCAACUUCAAGGGGCUCUCAGAGCUCCUCUUUGCCAAUACUAGCCACCGUUUCUUAGCACCUGCUCGAAAUGCAGGCACAUUAGAUUCCACUAUGGAAAGUUUGGCCUCCCUUCACCCACCGUCCUCUCCCAAGCCACUUUCCUUGCUGUGUGGUGAGGAAGAAGACCUUCAGGCCCGAUGUAGAGGUUGGAGUGUCGCAGCCAGUGGUCUACUCCAUGGGGUACAAAGGGUGCAUGGAGUUAGGAAGAAAAUAAACUUCUGUUGAUUUUUAAAGGAUCAUUGUAAGCCAGAGGCUUUUGUUAAGAAUAAGGCAUUGA